GGGCCGUUAGCUCAGUUGGUAGAGCAGCUGACUCUUAAUCAGCGGGUCACAGGUUCGAUCCCUGUACGGCCCA
rnacentral:tRNA from 2 species